rnacentral:misc_RNA from 1 species
CUUGAUUUAGAGGAAGUAAAAGUCGUAACAAGGUUUCCGUAGGUGAACCUGCGGAAGGAUCAUUAACACAAAAAACAAUCCCAUAUCCACCCCUUUUUAUAACGAACUAUGAUUUUUCUCUUCCCUUUCUUCAUUGAAAGGGAAAAGAAACCUCAUUUUCUCCUCUUUAUUACCCUCUUAUUUUUACCCCAAACAAACCAUAACAAACAUGCGAUAGACUGAUAUUUAUUUAUCAAAGAUAAUAAUCAAUGAUACAUAAAACAACUCUUAGCAACGGAUAUCUUGGCUCUC